CUCAAACUCCUGUGUCUUGUGCCACCAAUGUUCAGGAGGAUCUCCAAGCUUGUCACCAUGGAGAGAGAAAGAUUGGUCCCCUCUAAUUAGCCUCCUUUCUCCUUCUUCUUACAUUUCCCAACUUCUGUUAGAUGUACCUUUCACUCUUUCCUAUGUUCAAGAAAAAGCUGACCUAGAUCCCGUGAACACCGUUCGUGGGAACCCCUCGCUCGUGGUUGAGUGCAUCCACUUGACAUCCUCGGAAUGAGCGCUGGGCAGGCCAGUUUUCUAAAUCUUUUCAUGUUUGAAAACACUUGAUUGACAGUUGGCCUGGGGUAGAAAUUCGAGGUCAAAACUAUUUUCCCUGAGAACUUUGAAGGCAUUUUUCCAUUGAAAAAGUAAUUUGCAGGGUUAAUUUCCUUAGCGAUGGUUACUAUGGUGCUCACAUUUGAGGACCCACCCUUUGAACAGCGCCGCACGCAGUUCCCAGUGUUUUAAUGAGAUUUAAUCCUCAGCCCCAUGAGUCUGCAGCGUUAUUUUCCACGCUGUACAGACAAGGAAACAAGUUAUGAGGCCUGUAGCUUGUCCAGACAGGAUUUAACUCCCAGAACCUGGCAACCUUCUUCUACCUAAGGCCACGGCUCCUGUCGAGGACCCCUCUCCACAGCCCCGGCCCUCACAGAAUUCCAGAAAGACCACUCACUCCCCUGACCCCUCAGGUCCAGGAGUAACAGCUUCCCAGUGUGGCUGGUCCCCAAUGCUUCCCCAGCCCCUGUCGGUUCCCUGUGACCUCUGUGAAGAGCCUGUUUGUUAAGCCCUUUCUUAAAUCUUCUGAGCACCCAGCAGGGACCAUGACCAAUGCAGCCAACGGAUGGGAAGUGCCAGGGUCGGGGUCAGCCUGAUUCUCUCAGGCUCCAGUACCUGGUAUCCAGGAACAGAUUUAAGAUAUAAGAAGACAAUAGUUUAGAAGCUGUAGGAGAUGAGGAUGGAGAAAAUUUAGGGGAAAUUAGGACGCAGUCACGAGUAGCAAAAAGACGAUCUGAAGACGAAGGAAGAAGAUGGCCACCUGCACGCCAAGGAGGGAAGCGUCAGGAGAAACCAACCCUGCUGACACCUUGACUUUGGACUUCUAGCCUCCAACUGUGAGGAAAUGAAUGUCGUGUCCUUCUAAGAUAAAGGCAGACGGAGAUCUGAGGCACAUAAGGAGAAGAGGAGAAGGCCGUGUGGAGACAGAGGCAGAGACUGAAGUUACGCCGUCACAAGCUAAGAACACCUGGAGCCACCAGAAGCCGGGAGAGGCAAGGAGGGACUCUCCCCGGGACCGAC
rnacentral:lncRNA from 1 species